rnacentral:siRNA from 1 species
GAAGUGGAGUUACAGAAGGUGGAG